GACGAACGCUGGCGGCGUGCCUAAUACAUGCAAGUCGAACGCUGAAGGAGGAGCUUGCUUCUCUGGAUGAGUUGCGAACGGGUGAGUAACGCGUAGGUAACCUGCCUGGUAGUGGGGGAUAACUAUUGGAAACGAUAGCUAAUACCGCAUAAUAGCAGUUGUUGCAUGAUAACUGUUUGAAAGGUGCAAUUGCACCGCUACCAGAUGGACCUGCGUUGUAUUAGCUAGUUGGUGGGGUAACGGCUCACCAAGGCGACGAUACAUAGCCGACCUGAGAGGGUGAUCGGCCACACUGGGACUGAGACACGGCCCAGACUCCUACGGGAGGCAGCAGUAGGGAAUCUUCGGCAAUGGACGGAAGUCUGACCGAGCAACGCCGCGUGAGUGAAGAAGGGUUUCGGAUCGUAAAGCUCUGUUGUAAGAGAAGAACGAGUGUGAGAGUGGAAAGUUCACACUGUGACGGUAGCUUACCAGAAAGGGACGGCUAACUACGUG
rnacentral:rRNA from 1 species